GGCCUCGAUGCUUAUUGCACCACAUGUGUUUUUCUUUGAAACAAACUUGCUUUGGCGGUGGGCCCAGCCUGCCGCCAGAGGUCUAAACUUACAACCAAUUUUUUAUCAACUUGUCACACCAGAUUAUUACUUAAUAGUCAAAACUUUCAACAACGGAUCUCUUGGUUCUCGCAUCGAUGAAGAACGCAGCGAAAUGCGAUACGUAAUAUGAAUUGCAGAUAUUCGUGAAUCAUCGAAUCUUUGAACGCACAUUGCGCCCUCUGGUAUUCCGGAGGGCAUGCCUGUUUGAGCGUCGUUUCUCCCUCAAACCGCUGGGUUUGGUGUUGAGCAAUACGACUUGGGUUUGCUUGAAAGACGGUAGUGGUAAGGCGGGAUCGCUUUGACAAUGGCUUAGGUCUAACCAAAAACAUUGCUUGCGGCGGUAACGUCUACCACGUAUAUCUUCAAACUUUGACCUCAAAUCAGGUAGGACUACCCGCUGAACUUAAGCAUAUCAAAAGCGGGAGGAA
rnacentral:rRNA from 1 species